GCGCCACUCUCCUUCAGAGCAGGGACAUUUUCAGUCUGUUGUUUCUUUCACGACGGUGGGGCUGCUAGUCUCGAGGCUGCAUGGAGCGUCUCGUGGAGCAACAAGAAUCACUUUAAGACGCGCAAGGCAAAAGGAUGCGCGAAAACCUGGGCUGCGUCAUCAACGGGAGUGAUGCAACGUCCUCACCUGACCAAUAAGAAACGUCUACCGGAUUUUAGAAGCUGCACAAAACGCCUUUAACUUCACAAGGGAGAUGAUGUGGAGAAGGAAGAAUCGGUCCUUCAGUGAUCAAACCUCCUCAUGCUAUAAACAGACGGAGAUAUGUGGUGUCCAGGAACGGGGCUCGACGGCUGACAGAAAAUACCACAGCAACACCUUCAGUUUAGUUAAUGUAGAAUACAUGACAAAGAGUGUAUUGUUUAGAAGUUAUCAGAAUAAUACAAACCGUUGUGAAUUUGUAAACAUAGGACCUGAGAGUCCCACAAUUUAAAGUAAAAUAAUUGCUAAAAAUUGAGUCAUUUCACUCUGCGUAACUUUAGACAAUUUUACAUUUCGUUUUAUUUUAAGGGUCCUUCUUCGCUGUUUCAUAAUACUGUAGGACUACAGCCUAUGCCAAAUAAUAAACGAUUCAUCAACGUUCGAACUAAUUUGCACACUAAGAACAAUAAUUGUCCCUUAAUAAAAUAUAAUAUCUCAUUACGCCCCGGCCGCAGAAGAGUUAUGGGCAUUUGGUUUAUAUCGGGCAGCUGUCGAAAAAGGAGAAAAACAACUUUCUAACUUUUUCUACAUUUCAUGUAAAUUACGUUCUCUUAGGCACUUCAUCGGCCUGCUAAUCUCAGAGCUUAUAUGGGUAUUCCAAAGAGUUUUAUAGCCUAGCUAUAGUCACAUGAAUCAGUAAUAGGCUGUCAAUCUCCACAUUUUUUUUAUUAAUGGCAUGUGGGCCUAUGUAACUAUACAUAAUAUAAUACUAUAUACAUAUUACAAGUAAAACCAUUGCCGACACAGUUAUCCUAUUGUGCUGAGGAAUCUAAAGAGACUACAGAAUUCACGCCAAAUCAUGUCAUCCAAUCAUAUUCCUCAUUUACCGAUGACGGUCGGAAUUUAGGUGAACUUAAAGCAAACCCCCCGGGAAUAUUAUUAGUAAUUACACUUUAAUUGGCAUCGCCCGGGAUUCUUUAUACAUAACUUGCUAUAUUUUAAGCUGCAUGCUGUAUUUUAAUAUAGCCUAAUAUUUCAUGGUUACUAUGUUAUUUGAAACCAAUUCAUAUGCACGAGGCUAUCAUGUCUAUUUAUGAUAAAAGAGAAGGUAAACCAUUACAAAAUAUUAUAAAGUAUUUUUAGACGAGGUACUUACUCUUGAAAACUAUAGGUCUACUGAAACGAUAUGAUAUAGUUUUAAUAAAAACUAGAAAUUAGCGGGUUAUUUAGAUGUAAUAUGCUGUUCUUGCUUGUUUAAUGAUAAAGCAUACGAUUUCUCAUAUGCACCGAAUAAAAGUAGUCUAUCAACAUUAA